rnacentral:rRNA from 1 species
UACGUAGGGUGCGAGCGUUGUCCGGAAUUACUGGGCGUAAAGAGCUCGUAGGUGGUUUGUCACGUCGUCUGUGAAAUUCCGGGGCUUAACCUGGGCGUGCAGGCGAUACGGGCAAUACUUGAGUGCUGUAGGGGAGACUGGAAUUCCUGGUGUAGCGGUGAAAUGCGCAGAUAUCAGGAGGAACACCAAUGGCGAAGGCAGGUCUCUGGGCAGUUACUGACGCUGAGGAGCGAAAGCAUGGGUAGCGAACAGGAUUAGAUA